rnacentral:rRNA from 1 species
UACGAAGGGUGCAAGCGUUGCUCGGAAUUCUUGGGCGUAAAGGGUUGGUAGGUGGUCUUGUUUGUCUAGGGUGAAAUCCCAUGGCUUAACUGUGGAAGUGCCUUAGAAACGGCAAGACUAGAGUCCUAGAGGGGUUUGUGGAAUUCCCGGUGUAGCGGUGAAACGCGUAGAGAUCGGGAGGAACACCAGCGGCGAAGGCGGCAAACUGGAUAGGCACUGACACUCAACAACGAAAGCGUGGGGAGCAAACAGG